rnacentral:rRNA from 1 species
ACACUCCUGCGGGAGGCAGCAGUGGGGAAUUUUGGACAAUGGGCGAAAGCCUGAUCCAGCAAUGCCGCGUGAGUGAAGAAGGCCUUCGGGUUGUAAAGCUCUUUUGUCAGGGAAGAAACGGUGAGAGCUAAUAUCUCUUGCUAAUGACGGUACCUGAAGAAUAAGCACCGGCUAACUACGUGCCAGCAGCCGCGGUAAUACGUAGGGUGCAAGCGUUAAUCGGAAUUACUGGGCGUAAAGCGUGCGCAGGCGGUUUUGUAAGUCUGAUGUGAAAUCCCCGGGCUCAACCUGGGAAUUGCAUUGGAGUCUGCAAGGCUAGAAUCUGGCAGAGGGGGGUAGAAUGCAACGUGUAGCAGUGAAAUGCGUAGAUAUGUGGAGGAACACCGAUGGCGAAGGCAGCCCCCUGGGUCAAGAUUGACGCUCAUGCACGAAAGCGUGGGGAGCAAACAGGAUUAAAUACCCCGGUAGUCCCAUGAU